ensembl:lncRNA
AUGCAACGCUUCUGUGCAUCCACUGCAGCAUUUCUGAGGAGUUGGCAACGUUUGCAGAGAAGCCAUUUUAAUAAGCUUUGGGGUGAAAGACGUGAAACACGAAGACAAUCCUUGCUAUUUACAGCACUCAGCCCCCGGCUGCCUCUCCGCUUUUCCUACCGGCUUAAUAAAACCAAUAAAGUAAACAAACAAAGGAUGCAAAGUUUGGUUAAGGCCAACCAAAGUUCAGGGAGGAAGAGGGCAGGGUGCUGGGAAGACACGCAGACCUCCGACCAUCCACGUCCUGCACUGCUCAGCGCUGCUCUGGCUGCAAGGAGACACCAUAGCCUGGGGCUCUCACUGGGGUUGCUCGGAGGAUCUCUCGCCGCUCAGCGCGGUGCCCCCGGCAGACACACCGCGCUCCCUCCCUUCCCGGCAGAGAGUGACGCUGCGGAGGAGCUCCGGCAGAAGGAGAAGUCCCGUUCGGCACAAUCCUGCCCAGUCCCGCUCCGCAGCGCGGCUGAGGUGAGGGCAGAGGGGAGGUUUCCGAAGAUCCUCUCCCCCCUCCGAUUUACAGGGAGGAAUUUUGCUGUUUCUAUUUUUUAAAACAAAAGGACCUCGGACAGAUUUUUGCUUCAUUUGGUUUGUUGUGUUUUGUUUCUUUUUUUUUUCCCCCUCUCAAAGCAAAAAGAAAUGCUUGGAAAGCAGCAAGCCCAGCCUGGGAACGGGGGCUGCACAGCGCAUCGAUAACCGGGAUUAAGAAACUCAACUCAUGCACCGGGAUUCCCGCAGCGGGGAGGGUCCUGGGGGAGAGCACAGCGAACCCAGCGGGAUGCCAGCGCUUCAGCCGCCUCUCUCCGCGGAUCCCGUUUAACCCCGGCUCCAUCCCGCUCGGGAAAAGCACCCGGAGAGCCGCCGUGCCCUCCCCUGGACGGCAUCGAGGGCCCCAGGCAGGCCAGACCCGGUCCGAGGGCUGCGCACUCCAUGCGCCCGCAGGCGGGAGCGGCACCGAGGUACCCGCGCCGGUUGUGAUUUAUGUCUGUGGAUGAAUGCUGUAAAUAUGAGCCACGGAGAUUUAAGAGCAAAUCCCCUCGCACGGCUUGGGGAGUAAUUUGGUUUUACUCUUAGGCAAAAUGUGGCUCGCUGUCAGGAUUUUACACGCGGGAAUAUUCUUCCUUCCCUAUGCCAAACAGUGACUGUGUGUGCUCUCGUUCUUUACUUCGACCGUGGAGGAAAUUUAAGCAAGAACAUGUAUAGUGAACUGCUCAACUCAACCAGUGCCACCGAAGCUCACCUCAUCCUUCAGACCAACACUCCCUACCUGGGCAGCACGCAGCGACCCGUCAGCUCCUCCGCCUUCUACAUGUCGACAGCCAGGGUGCUAAAAGAAGGGGAGAUCAACAAGCCCGACCUGGUGACUUACAUCAUCCUCUUUUUCUUUCUGCUCUUGACUGUGACACUCAUCGUGCUCUUCAUUAACUGCCAGCUGAAAAAUUCUUUUUUUGCUACUCUUCCUUACGACAGAUCCCUCCGGGAAGCGAGGAGCCCGUGGAGGACACAGGCUGUGUGACACGAGGGGGAAACAGCGUCUUCCAGCAGCAGCAGCGGGGAGCAGCAGCGCUGUGCAACACAGCGUUCUCGUCCGCAUGGCAGCGGGUGGGUUCGACCCUCCUUAAAAUAAUAGGCUGCGCCGCAGGGAAAGGCUGCUGAAAGAGACGCCGUAUGCAGAUGGGAAUAGCUGUAAAUAAAAGGCCGUACGACGAACUGAAGAGACCAGGCUUUGGCAAAUUGAUCCGCGCCAAAAGGAAAUUGCCCCCCGAUUCCAGAUUAAGCGCUAUAUGUAUGCAAAUGUCAUCACCGACCCAUUCAGUGCCCAUAGAAGGACAUUUGCAUUAACAACAAUCUCUGAUUUGUGCAUCUGGUGCAGCCUGUUACCCAUGUUUAUGAAGUCACAGCACUGAAUGUAAAACACAGCCUAUUUACCUAAUGGGUCCACUCUGAGGAGGAGAGUUUACUUUCCAGACCCGUUUCUCUCCGCUGCUGCUGAAACGCUCGGUAACGCGAUGGGAGCCGUGCCUGGCAGGAGAAAGCCAGAAACGGUGCUUUAGGUUUUGACUGGGAUGCUGCUGGGGGGGGUUGGUGGUGUUUUACUGCAUCUUCAGCCGGGUUUCAAGUCACUGCCAGCUAUGGGAACCGCUGAAUACCUAAGUAACCAGUUUCCAACUUUCUAAGUUGCAAAGGAAAUUGCUUGCCGCAGCACGAAACCAAAAUAAUCAGGAUGGAGAGAAGGAAGGAGAGAAAAUAAACAUCAUUAAUCGUAUGUAAACUAACGAAAGGGGAGAGCAGAGCGCUCCGAGCUCCCUACAAGAAGCAGAUAACUUUGGAGAGCCGCUGCGUUACAGCAGGAGCUGCUCCGCGGCAGCACCGCCACUCCUCGCUCUCGCUAUAAGGCCGGCAGUCAGCAGCAUGCUUCAUUGAAAGGGCAGCAGCAUGAUUGAUUCACCACUCAUUAACGGUAACAUACACUGGUUUAGAUUAAUUAGCAAUCCGGUUUUGUUCUAGAAGCUGUACUCCUGCUUCACCUUCGCUGCCAUGCUAUUGAAAUAGAUGACAGCUUUUAGGAAAUUCGCAGUUAGAGUGCCAUAACUACAGACCACACAGCACAAACCCCAGCACAGUAUUCCCGUUCCCACAGCGGGCAAAGGGCUCCUUCCUGCUCGUUUUCUCAGCCACAGUGUCUCCGCACACAGCUGGGUCACGGACGGCCAGAAACACACCCUUAAAACCAACUUCUACUCCCACUUUUGCAAGUGGAUCUCCAAUCAAAGGAGAGGGGCUCGUGCAGUGCCAGAACUGCACCCCUCAAUGCAUCCUUACCCCCCGGAGCACAGCAGAAGUGCUGUGUGCAUGUAUGUACGUAAAGCAUUUCAUCCAAAUGAGAAGAUUCUACAGUGCAAUGACACACAAGCACGUGGGACAGAGACACGGACAUACCUGGGCCCCGACGGCGAGCUUUUAUACAAAGAAGUUGCACAGUUGAUAUACUUCCAAGUCAUGGUCUUGGUUACCAUCUUUUGUUACGCUCUAAAAAGUUAAGCCUGCCACAGAGCAGCCUGAAACACUUCAUUCCUUGACAGGUGGCCAAUUUUUAUCUCAUCUGAACCAAAUUUCACUGGUGUAACUCCAAAUAAUUAUUCUAAUGCAGAAAUAAAGGAUAAAUUCAAGCGUGUUUAUCUCAGCCCAUUUUGAAUAAAUUGAGUUUUUAUCAAACCGGCCAUUUCUCAUUUAU